ACCCAGCUGGCUCAGUCGGUAGAGUGUGAGAUUUGAUCUCGGGGUUGUGAGUUCAAGCCCAUGUUGAGUG
rnacentral:tRNA from 1 species